rnacentral:rRNA from 1 species
UUGAACUGAAGAGUUUGAUCCUGGCUCAGAUUGAACGCUGGCGGCAUGCCUUACACAUGCAAGUCGAACGGCAGCACGGGCUUCGGCCUGGUGGCGAGUGGCGAACGGGUGAGUAAUACAUCGGAACAUGUCCUGUAGUGGGGGAUAGCCCGGCGAAAGCCGGAUUAAUACCGCAUACGAUCCACGGAUGAAAGCGGGGGACCUUCGGGCCUCGCGCUAUAGGGUUGGCCGAUGGCUGAUUAGCUAGUUGGUGGGGUAAAGGCCUACCAAGGCGACGAUCAGUAGCUGGUCUGAGAGGACGACCAGCCACACUGGGACUGAGACACGGCCCAGACUCCUACGGGAGGCAGCAGUGG